GGCACUACGGUGCUGAAGCAACAAAUGCCCUGCUUCCAGGAAAAGCCUCUAAGCAUCAGGUAACAUCAAAUCGUACCCCAAACCGACACAGGUGGUCAGGUAGAGAAUACCAAGGCGCUUGAGAGAACUCGGGUGAAGGAACUAGGCAAAAUGGUGCCGUAACUUCGGGAGAAGGCACGCUGAUAUGUAGGUGAAGCGACUUGCUCGUGGAGCUGAAAUCAGUCGAAGAUACCAGCUGGCUGCAACUGUUUAUUAAAAACACAGCACUGUGCAAACACGAAAGUGGACGUAUACGGUGUGACGCCUGCCCGGUGCCGGAAGGUUAAUUGAUGGGGUUAGCGGUAACGCGAAGCUCUUGAUCGAAGCCCCGGUAAACGGCGGCCGUAACUAUAACGGUCCUAAGGUAGCGAAAUUCCUUGUCGGGUAAGUUCCGACCUGCACGAAUGGCGUAAUGAUGGCCAGGCUGUCUCCACCCGAGACUCAGUGAAAUUGAACUCGCUGUGAAGAUGCAGUGUACCCGCGGCAAGACGGAAAGACCCCGUGAACCUUUACUAUAGCUUGACACUGAACAUUGAGCCUUGAUGUGUAGGAUAGGUGGGAGGCUUUGAAGUGUGGACGCCAGUCUGCAUGGAGCCGACCUUGAAAUACCACCCUUUAAUGUUUGAUGUUCUAACGUUGGCCCGUUAUCCGGGUUGCGGACAGUGUCUGGUGGGUAGUUUGACUGGGGCGGUCUCCUCCUAAAGAGUAACGGAGGAGCACGAAGGUUGGCUAAUCCUGGUCGGACAUCAGGAGGUUAGUGCAAUGGCAUAAGCCAGCUUGACUGCGAGCGUGACGGCGCGAGCAGGUGCGAAAGCAGGUCAUAGUGAUCCGGUGGUUCUGAAUGGAAGGGCCAUCGCUCAACGGAUAAAAGGUACUCCGGGGAUAACAGGCUGAUACCGCCCAAGAGUUCAUAUCGACGGCGGUGUUUGGCACCUCGAUGUCGGCUCAUCACAUCCUGGGGCUGAAGUAGGUCCCAAGGGUAUGGCUGUUCGCCAUUUAAAGUGGUACGCGAGCUGGGUUUAGAACGUCGUGAGACAGUUCGGUCCCUAUCUGCCGUGGGCGCUGGAGAACUGAGGGGGGCUGCUCCUAGUACGAGAGGACCGGAGUGGACGCAUCACUGGUGUUCGGG
rnacentral:rRNA from 1 species